ACCAGCUCUGGGCUCCGUGUUGCUGGCACCAGACCCUUUCUCCAUGUGUACACAAAUCCGAGUCCUGUGUCCAAACAUAGGACAGAAAUGUGAUCAGGGCUGGGUCGAGGAGGGGAUUGGACCGUCUUCGGCAUCCCAAAUCUCCAAGAUGCAAAGGUGUCUCACUCCAUCUUGGUGUCUGCUUCCUAGAGGACCUGAAGUGGCACGCUUAGCCAGGAUGUCUUAGCUCAAGCUUCUUAUCUGCCUGCAGGAUCCCAUCACUCCACUCUGCCCUCUCCCCAGGCUCUUCAAAGCAAUACUCGGCUGCACUUUCUCCCUCCGCAAAGCCAGGCGCUCUUAAAAGAAAAAAGAAAAAGAAAAGGAAAAAAAACACACACACAUUUUAAGGCAAAUUCCUCUUUAAUUUCCUAAUAAUAACAAAAGUCAUUCGAAGCCACUUAACUGUGAGAAAAUAAAUAUCUAUGCAUAUAUUCA